rnacentral:rRNA from 1 species
AUUGAACGCUGGCGGCAUGCCUUACACAUGCAAGUCGAACGGUAACAGGUCUUCGGAUGCUGACGAGUGGCGAACGGGUGAGUAAUGCAUCGGAACGUGCCCAGUAGUGGGGGAUAGCCCGGCGAAAGCAGGAUUAAUACCGCAUACGACCUGAGGGUGAAAGGGGGGGAUCGCAAGACCUCUCGCUAUUGGAGCGGCCGAGGUCAGAUUAGCUAGUUGGUGGGGUAAAGGCCUACCAAGGCAACGAUCUGUAGUUGGUCUGAGAGGACGACCAGCCACACUGGGACUGAGACACGGCCCAGACUCCUACGGGAGGAAGCAGUGGGGAAUUUUGGACAAUGGGCGCAAGCCUGAACCAGCAAUGCCGCGUGCAGGAAGAGGGCCUUCGGGUUGUAAACUGCUUUUGUCAGGGAAGAAAUCUUCUGGGUUAAUACCCCGGGAGGAUGACGGUACCUGAAGAAUAAGCACCGGCUAACUACGUGCCAGCCGCCGCCGUAACAC